ensembl:snRNA U6 U6 spliceosomal RNA
GUUCUCCGUUCAGCAUCACAUAUGCUAAAAGUGGAAUGAUACAGAGAUUAGCAUGGCCCCUGUGCAAGGAUAACAUGCAAAUUCAUGAAGCAUUCCACAUUUUU